CUAUCUUUUGUCACGUGUUUAUAUCGUUUCCAGCCAAAAAAAACUUACUGGUUAAAAACAAAUCUAUAUAGGGUUGAUAUUGUAUGUCACUUUAAUAAUUUGACAUGUUUUAAAAGGAGAUUGCACCAAAAAAUACUAAGAAAUGAAUGAAGCACCUGCAAUAAUUCGACACGGCAGCUGAUGUCAGUACGGUAUAUAGAGAAUGACCCAAACCUGGUAUUGAAUUCCCUUCAGUGGAGCAGCAAUAAAUCAGCUGUACUGUGUGAAGGGAACUCAGUGCUUUUCUUUGUUUUCAUCCUGAGUGCCAGCAGCCACAACUAAAAUGCUUUAAAGCUAUGGCGUAACCCUUAAAAAUGCUUUCCCCCCCAUUUAAACCGUGUUUUCUCAGGAUUACAGCAUUUAAAAGAAUGUUUCCUUCUGAUUAACUAAAUAAUUCCCAAACCAAAGGGAUUUGUUUAAAGGUUUUAGAGUGUAAUAAUCCAGAUAAUAGUAAUUUAAAUUUGUUUUCACACUAGGCCUAAUUUACUUAGUCUAAUAUAUUCCAAAAGGAAAUGCAGUUGUACUCAUAGCGCAUUUAAAGAGAGAGCUUUAUUUGUGUUUGUUGACAAUUUGUGUGUCUCUUUCCAGAAUACUCUUCGGCAACAGAAAGCAGCAGUGUUUUGGACAGGCAGUGAAGGGUGAACUCCAUCAGGGACGCUUUGUGAUGACUUGACAACAAUGAAACUCCUGUGUGAUUUUGGCAGUGUGCUCUGGAUCGUUAUCAUCCUGGAAUAUUCCUCCUUUGCCAAGCUUCUGCAGACUGGUAGUACCAGUAUUUUGGUAUAUCCACGGACAUUCAUGUUGCCAUCUAAAAAUGUCAUCUCCCCAACAUAGCUCGCACUCAUGUGGCCCCAUGUCAUCACAUGCCCACCUUUGUGCUUCACUGUCAGGACUAUGCAUUCACUGUGGCUGUCCAGACCAGAUUCAGGACAAAUAUUCUGGACCCCAUCAGAGCAGAACAACUUUACACUGACCUAGCUGUUAUUAAAAACCCUGUGGCAAGUCUGAUACAUUUGCCCUUCUGUUUUUCUCAGCUAAACUGAAAGUUCCCCACUGCCCAUGGCAUCAUUUUAGGCUUUCAGCCGUUGCAGCUCUGAUUAGUGGCACUAUGGUUCAUUCUAUACCUUCUGACUACUCCUGCAACUUUGUUUCGAUGGAUUUUUUUAGUUGGUCACUAAUCUUCCUGUAUCCUUUUCCAUCUUUGUGAAGUCUCAUGGUCCUUUGGCAAUUCUUGUGGAGCCACGAUGCAGACAUGCGAAUAUACACAGCCUUAAAAGUCCAAAACCGAGAUAGUUCUGGUGUUCACAGGUCAGGCUAAUUGGAACUCACUGUUGAACUUGCGUUUGUUUCAGUUUUCUAACUUCUGUUUCAGUAAUUACAAUUGUAAUUACUUCUGUUGCUUUCAGUUUCUACUUUUGGGGAUCUCUUUUCCUUAUAACCUUCCUGAAGAAUCAGUUUUUGUACUGUUCAAAAGAGGAACUAAUUGCCGAAUUCGAAGUAAGGCAAAUACUGAGGUGAUGCCACAGUGAAUUAUUUGACAUUGAAGUGAUGCUGUACAGAUGUGUACUUGCUGCUGUUGUAUAUUGUAGACUAUUCCCCAAGCAGAUGUUUUGAGUUGUCAUGAUGGACAACGCACAGGCGUAACUCAUAAUAUCACUUAUGUCUCUACUCUGUUCAUAUGUCCUUGUAAACCAUAAAAAAUGUCCAGCAUGCAGCAUUAUUUUUUAAUGUUUUCACAGUAGGCAUUUCAGCAUGUCACAGCAGGGAAAACACAUAUGUAAUUAAUAACAUGUCAUGAAUCAGUGCAUUCCUUUUACAUGAGCUUCUUCCAUGGCCUUGAUAUUUCACAUGCUGGUUCUCUGACAUCGCUCACUGGGGGAGUUAAUGGAACUGAUCCAUCCUUAACUGAAUUAGUUACACCUGUGCUUUCUCUGCUAUUACAAGUCAAAACGUCUACUGUGAGGAAGGUCUGUAUCCGACCUGAGUGGAAUACAGUAAUUAUUAACAUGUGUUAAUUUAGUUAUCGGUCAGAAAUCCAUCAAGACUGAUCCACCAGUGAGAAUCUACUUGAAGACCUUGCACCACAUUCAGUUUUUGCAUUACUCUCUGUAAUAGAAAAUACCUUUCACUCAAUGUCUGACUCAAUUAAUUUCAGAAGUGUGUCUAGAAAUAUGUCUAGUGUUACCAAACUGAUUGAAAAAUGUCUUCGGUCUAGAUUUAGUGAGCAGCUUUUUUUUCCCAAGUUGCCUUGUAAUUCAGAGGAAAACCGCAAUCCUCAUGCUGAUAUAAUGACAUGAAAUUGUGGCAGCAUUUGAGUUUCAAGUGUAUGUACAAUAUCAGUGACAUGCAAAGCCAGUAUAACUUUCUUAAAGCUUUCCAAGACGAAUUUGCACUUUUUAAAUCAAGAUUUUUCAUGUGCCGAACUAUCCAGCCCAUAACUUUUAUAUAGAUACAUCUAACUUUAAACCUGUAAUUGAUAAGUGGGAUCGCUCCUGCAAACCACAAGCUUUUGAAAUCCUUUGAAGGUAAAUAUUACACAAUAGUUUCAUUCUGUCACUGUGUCUAUUGUCUUUUUCAGCAGCAGAUAGUUAAUCUGCCUGAAGCAGCCUGUCUGUAGCAGCCCAUAUUAAUGUUAUUGAUCAUUGUCAACUUUUGUGUUUCUUCCAGCCUCAGAUCACACUGUAGUGGGUUGUUUCUUGGCUUUUACUUUCCAGUAAAGGUUUCUUUUUUCAUUAGUCCCUUUCUCUGUUCUUCUCCCCAAUAACCUGUCUCCUUUAUUGCACACAGUCCUUAGAAAGUGACAACUUGGGAAACUGAAUCAAAGUUUCAAUAAAGCCUGAAGUGCUGCAGGCUUUGACAAGUAAGGUGGCUGGAGUGAAGCAGUACAGAAAGAGACUGAAGGAGGAC
ensembl:lncRNA